rnacentral:rRNA from 1 species
UACGUAGGGUGCAAGCGUUGUCCGGAAUUAUUGGGCGUAAAGAGCUCGUAGGCGGUUUGUCGCGUCUGCUGUGAAAACUCGGGGCUUAACCCCGGGCCUGCAGUGGGUACGGGGCAGACUAGAGUGCGGUAGGGGAGACUGGAAUUCCUGGUGUAGCGGUGAAAUGCGCAGAUAUCAGGAGGAACACCGGUGGCGAAGGCGGGUCUCUGGGCCGAUACUGACGCUGAGGAGCGAAAGCGUGGGGGAGCGAACAGG